AAACUUGCUUCAACAGCCCAUAUACUAAAAUUGGAGCGAUACAGAGAUUCGCAUGGCACCUGGGCAAGGAUGACACGCAAAUUCGUGAAGCGCUCCAUAUUUUU
ensembl:snRNA Gm26449 predicted gene, 26449